rnacentral:rRNA from 1 species
UACGAAGGGAGCUAGCGUUGUUCGGAAUCACUGGGCGCAAAGCGCACGUAGGCGGAUUUGCCAGUCAGGGGUGAAAUCCCGGGGCUCAACCUCGGAACUGCCUUUGAUACAGCAAGUCUUGAGUUCGAGAGAGGUGGGUGGAAUUCCUAGUGUAGAGGUGAAAUUCGUAGAUAUUAGGAAGAACACCGGUGGCGAAGGCGGCCCACUGGCUCGACACUGACGCUGAGGUGCGAAAGCGUGGGGAGCAAACAGG